rnacentral:rRNA from 1 species
GCGGGGAAUCUUCCGCAAUGGACGAAAGUCUGACGGAGCAACGCCGCGUGAGUGAAGAAGGUUUUCGGAUCGUAAAGCUCUUUCGUUAGGGACGAACGUGCUCUUUGUGAAUAAUGAGGAGUAAUGACGGUACCUAAAUAAGAAGCCACGGCUAACUACGUGCCAGCAGCCGCGGUAAUACGUAGGUGGCAAGCGUUGUCCGGAAUUAUUGGGCGUAAAGCGCGCGACGGCGGGAUAUCAAGUCUGUCUUAAAAGUGCGAGGCUCAACCUCGUGAGGGGACAGAAACUGGUAUUCUUGAGUGUCGGAGAGGAAAGUGGAAUUCCAAGUGUAGCGGUGAAAUGCGUAGAGAUUUGGAAGAACACCAGUGGCGAAGGCGACUUUCUGGACGAUGUCUGACGCUGAGGCGCGAAAGCUAGGGGAGCGAACGGGAUUAGAAACCCUAGUAGUCC